GACGAACGCUGUCGGCGUGCUUAACACAUGCACGUCGAACGGAAAGGCCCUGCUUGCAGGGUACUCUAGUGGCGAACGGGUGAGUAACACGUGGGUGAUCUGCCCUGCACUUCGGGAUCAGCCUGUGAAACUGGGUCUAAUACCGGAUAGGAGCCAUUUUUAUUGUGAUGGUUGGAAAGUUUUUUCGGUGUAGGAUGAGCUCGCGGCCUAUCGGCUUGUUGGUGGGGUAAUGGCCUACCAAGGCGGCGACGGGUAGCCGGCCUGAGAGGGUGGACGGCCACAGUGGGACUGGGAGACGGCCCAGACUACGAAGGGAGGCAGCAGUGGGGAAUAUUGCACAAUGGGCGCAAGACGGAUGCAGCGACGCCGCGGGGGGGAUGACGGACUUCGGGUUGUAAACUCCGUUCGCUAGGGACGAAGCUUUUUGUGACGGUACCUAGAGAAGAAGCACCGGCUAACUACGUG
rnacentral:rRNA from 1 species